rnacentral:rRNA from 1 species
CGAGGAAUAUUGGUCAAUGGGCGCAAGCCUGAACCAGCCAUCCCGCGUGCAGGAAGACGGCCCUAUGGGUUGUAAACUGCUUUUCCAGGGAGAGAAACCUGCGCACGUGUUGCGCAGUUGACGGUACCCUGGGAAUAAGCAUCGGCUAACUCCGUGCCAGCAGCCGCGGUGAUACGGAGGAUGCAAGCGUUAUCCGGAUUCAUUGGGUUUAAAGGGUGCGUAGGCGGACUAUUAAGUCAGUGGUGAAAGCCUGCAGCUUAACUGCAGAACUGCCAUUGAUACUGAUAGUCUUGAGUUUGGUUAAGGUAGGCGGAAUGUGUAAUGUAGCGGUGAAAUGCUUAGAUAUUACACAGAACACCAAUUGCGUAGGCAGCUUACUGAGCCGACACUGACGCUGAGGCACGAAAGCGUGGGGAUCGAACAG